GGUCAAGCUACAAAGGGCGCAGGGUGAAUGCCUUGGCACUAGGAGCCGAAGAAGGACGUGAUAAGCUGCGAUAAGCUUUGGGUAGACGCAAAUAGUCUGUGAUCCAGAGAUUUCCGAAUGGGGAAACCCACAUGGCUACGCCAUGUACUAUAUGCUGAAUACAUAGGUAUAUAGAGGUAAACCCGGGGAACUGAAACAUCUAAGUACCCGGAGGAAGAGAAAGAAAAAUCGAUUUCCUAAGUAGCGGCGAGCGAAAAGGAAAGAGCCCAAACCUAAGCCUUUGGCUUGGGGGUUGAGGACAGAACAUAAAUUUACUGAAUCUCUAGUUGAAGAUAGCUGGAAAGCUACUCCGUAGAAGGUAAUAGGCCUGUAAGCAAAAGAGAUAAAGUAACAGUUCUGAUCCAGAGUACCACGAGACACGUGAAACCUUGUGGGAAGCAGGGAGGACCACCUCCCAAGGCUAAAUACUACCUAGUGACCGAUAGUGGAGAAGUACCGUGAGGGAAAGGUGAAAAGAACCCCGGGAGGGGAGUGAAAUAGAACCUGAAACCCUGUGCCUACAACCGAUCGAAGCACUUUAUAUGUGUGACGAUGUGCUUUUUGUAGAACGAGCCAACGAGUUACGAUAUGUAGCGAGGUUAAGUACUUAAGGUACGGAGCCGAAGGGAAACCGAGUCUGAAUAGGGCGCAAAGUUGCAUGUCGUAGACCCGAAACCGGGUGACCUAUCCAUGGCCAGGUUGAAGCGAGAGUAAAAUCUCGUGGAGGACCGAACCACGUUGGUGUUGAAAAACCAUGGGAUG
rnacentral:rRNA from 1 species